UACGUAGGGCGCAAGCGUUAUCCGGAAUUAUUGGGCGUAAAGAGCUCGUAGGCGGCUUGUCGCGUCGACUGUGAAAACCCGCGGCUCAACUGCGGGCCUGCAGUCGAUACGGGCAGGCUAGAGUUCGGUAGGGGAGACUGGAAUUCCUGGUGUAGCGGUGAAAUGCGCAGAUAUCAGGAGGAACACCGGUGGCGAAGGCGGGUCUCUGGGCCGAUACUGACGCUGAGGAGCGAAAGCGUGGGGAGCGAACAGG
rnacentral:rRNA from 1 species